AGACAGAGAGUCACGGCCGUAUGCGCCCGAUCCCGUCCGCUCUCAGAAGCUAAGCAGGGUCGGGCCUGGUUAGUACUUGGAUGGGAGACAGACAGAGAGAGCUUCCGUCCUCUGGUUC
rnacentral:rRNA from 1 species